rfam:Mycobacterium sp. KMS, complete genome.
CGGGGUGUGGCGCAGCUUGGUAGCGCGCUUCGUUCGGGACGAAGAGGUCGUGGGUUCGAAUCCCGCCACCCCGA